rnacentral:ribozyme from 15 species
CUUUUUUCUCGUCUUUUUUCUCGUCUUUUUUCUCACCUGGUUUUUGUUCCUUCUUCUCCUUUUUGAAAUUUUCCGACAUACUGGAUGCACGGGGCCGAGCUUUGGCGGGGAAUAUUAAAGAUAGAAGAUCUUGAAUGAACUUCCAA